rnacentral:rRNA from 1 species
AGAGACCGGCGCACGGGUGCGUAACGCGUAUGCAAUCUACCUUUCACAAAGGGAUAGCCCAGAGAAAUUUGGAUUAAUACCUUAUAGUAAUACGACUUGGCAUCAAGAUGUAUUUAAAGAUUUAUCGGUGAAAGAUGAGCAUGCGUCCCAUUAGCUAGUUGGUAAGGUAACGGCUUACCAAGGCUACGAUGGGUAGGGGUCCUGAGAGGGAGAUCCCCCACACUGGUACUGAGACACGGACCAGACUCCUACGGGAGGCAGCAGUGAGGAAUAUUGGACAAUGGGCGCAAGCCUGAUCCAGCCAUGCCGCGUGCAGGAUGACAGUCCUAUGGAUUGUAAACUGCUUUUGUACAGGAAGAAACCCUUUCACGUGUGGAAGAUUGACGGUACUGUAAGAAUAAGGAUCGGCUAACUCCGUGCCAGCAGCCGCGGUAAUACGGAGGAUCCAAGCGUUAUCCGGAAUCAUUGGGUUUAAAGGGUCCGUAGGCGGUCAGAUAAGUCAGUGGUGAAAGCCCAUCGCUCAACGGUGGA